CAGUAGCCACGGUAAAACGAAGGGUGCAAGCGUUACUCGGAAUUACUGGGCGUAAAGCGUGCGUAGGUGGUGGUUUAAGUCCGUUGUGAAAGCCCUGGGCUCAACCUGGGAAUUGCAGUGGAUACUGGGUCACUAGAGUGUGGUAGAGGAUAGUGGAAUUUCCGGUGUAGCAGUGAAAUGCGUAGAGAUCGGAAGGAACAUCUGUGGCGAAGGCGACUAUCUGGGCCAACACUGACACUGAGGCACGAAAGCGUGGGGAGCAAACAGGAUUAGAUACCCCAGUAGUCCCUGUCUCUUAUAC
rnacentral:rRNA from 1 species